rnacentral:rRNA from 1 species
GAGCGCCGUAGCAAUACGGAGCGGCAGACGGGAGAGUAACACGUGGGAACGUGCCCUUCAGUUCGGAACAACCCAGGGAAACUUGGGCUAAUACCGGAUACGUCCGAAAGGAGAAAGAUUUAUCGCUGAAGGAUCGGCCCGCGUCUGAUUAGCUAGUUGGUGGGGUAACGGCCCACCAAGGCGACGAUCAGUAGCUGGUCUGAGAGGAUGAUCAGCCUCACUGGGACUGAGACACGGCCCAGACUCCUACGGGAGGCAGCAGUGGGGAAUAUUGGACAAUGGGCGCAAGCCUGAUCCAGCCAUGCCGCGUGGGUGAUGAAGGCCCUAGGGUUGUAAAGCCCUUUCGGCGGGGAAGAUAAUGACGGUAUCCGCAGAAGAAGCCCCGGCUAACUUCGUGCCAGCAGCCGCGGUAAU